rnacentral:rRNA from 1 species
AGUGGCGCACGGGUGAGUAACACGUGGGAACCUGCCUUAAGGUUCGGGAUAACGUCUGGAAACGGACGCUAACACCGGAUGCGUCCUUCGGGAGAAAGUUUACGCCGAGAGAGGGGCCCGCGUCCGAUUAGGUAGUUGGUGGGGUAAUGGCCCACCAAGCCGACGAUCGGUAGCUGGUCUGAGAGGAUGAUCAGCCACACUGGGACUGAGACACGGCCCAGACUCCUACGGGAGGCAGCAGUGGGGAAUAUUGGACAAUGGGGGCAACCCUGAUCCAGCAAUGCCGCGUGAGUGAUGAAGGCCUUACGGUUGUAAAGCUCUUUCGCACGCUACGAUGAUGACUGUAGCCUGAGACUAACCUCCGCUAACCUCCCGACUAAACCCCCGAAAUACGAAUGAGGCGAGCGUCAUGCGAAUAUACUGUGAGUAAAGGGACCGAAAGCGGUCCUGAAGACUUAAUAGAAUUUUCCCGGACUUUCCCUGGGACCAGGCUUGAGCCGUGGACUGUUUCUUCUGAGGUUAGAAUGACGGCUUUCUCUCUUUUAUAGGAUAGAAUUCGCCCAGUUUGGAAAAAAAAUCCAUUGAAUCUACGUAAACAUUACCGCCCUUCGACUAUUGCUGAUAUUUAAAAUGCUUUUAAAUUUUUAAGUUUUAUAUACUCUAUCUAAUCGUCUUCUACAGUCGAAAAAUUUUAAAAUUGAUACAGGAGCAACUCAUAUUGCCUCUUACUUUCCUAUCUUGACUUAUGUUUCAUAUUAAUUAAAUUUUUAAUCAACCCCACUCACGACCUUCUCUUACCAUUCUUUACCACAUCCUUAUAUUGAAUUCACUUCCAUUCUAUAAUAUCUUCCAUAUUCAUAUUAAACUCUUUUAAAGAAAAAUCUCCACCAUCUAAAUAAUAUUUAUUUAGUGACUUUUAUGCUUUAAUGUUCCUUAGUGAUUUUUUUCUGAAUAAGCAUUUUGUCUGAAGCGGAUUUUAGAGCAUCGUUUUUAUGACUUAGUGAUCACAAUGCAUUAAUGAUUUAUUUUCUCAGCAUCAGAAUGAACUAAUAUAUUUGUCUUUUGAUAGAAUAUCACAAUAAGAUAUAUUAUCAUAAUAUAUUUGAUAAUGUAUGUUAAGUUUAUUCUUUGGUGUAAAUAAUUAUAUCGAUGACCAUUAUUGUAUCACCUUUGCCCUCAGGCUCUCUUGUGUCUGCUUACGUCUACUAUUUGUGUUGCAUUAUAGUCUUGUACUGCUUCCUAUUACUCACUGUGUCCCGUCCUCAUAGGUUAUUUACUUUUUUACUUCUGUAUGUAGUGCACUUAUGCCGCACACUACAUUAAUAUGAUCACUCAUUAACAUAUUGCCGAAUCGAACAUCACACUGAUCUUGUUUGUAAACGAAUCCUGUU